rnacentral:rRNA from 1 species
CGCCCACUAGCUAGCUUAGACCCUAUAGUCCAAUAGCAUUCCAGAAAUAACCCCAAAAAUAGUUCAACCUAAUUAAACAAAACAUUUUUCCUCCUUAGUACGGGCGACGGAAAAGGAAGCCAUAAGAGCAAUAAAAGAAGUACCGCAAGGGAAAGCUGAAAAAGAAAUGAAAUAACCCAGUAAAGCCUAAAGAAGCAGAGAUUAAACCUCGUACCUUUUGCAUCAUGAACUAGCCAGAAACCGUCAAGCAAAACGCACUUUAGUUUGACUUCCCGAAACUACGCGAGCUACUCCAAGACAGCCUGUCAGCAGGGCAAACCCGUCUCUGUGGCAAAAGAGUGGGAAGAUCUUCGAGUAGAGGUGACAGACCUAUCGAGCCUAGUUAUAGCUGGUUGCCUAAGAAAUGAAUAGGAGUUCAGCCUCUCGGCUUCUUUCCUCCAACCUCUAGCAUCUUUCCCCUUUCCCCUUGCUAACCACUCUUUUUCCCACCACGCCUAAAAGAAACCUAGAGAGUUAUUCAGAGGGGGUACAGCCCCUCUGAAAUAAGAUACAACUUUUAUAAGAAGGUUAAAGACUCACCCCAACCCAAGGUAUAAUGUUCGAGUGGGCCCGAAAGCAGCCACCUCCCAGAAAGCGUUAAAGCUCAAACAUCCCCGCCUCCACCCUUAAUUCUAACAAAAUAACCUUAAACCUCUGUGCAUAUUAGGCCCUUUCAUGCACCCAUGAAAGUGACCAUGCUAGUAUGAGUAACAGGAAAGGCUACACGCCUUUCUCCCCGCACAAGUGUAUAUCGGAUCGAACAAAGCCCCGAAACUCAACGGAUCCAAAAGAAGAGGUUAAUGAAUACCACGAGAAGAAGCCAGAAAACCAUUCAAUAAAAACCCGUUAACCCCACACUGGUGUGCAUUCUGGGAAAGACUAAAAGAAAGAGAAGGAACUCGGCAAACGCAUGAAGCCUCGCCUGUUUACCAAAAACACCGCCUCUUGCAGUUAACGAAUAAGAGGUCCCGCCUGCCCAGUGACUGUGGGUUCAACGGCCGCGGUACUUUGACCGUGCGAAGGUAGCGUAAUCACUUGUCUUUUAAAUGAGGACCUGUAUGAAUGGCAUAACGAGGGCUUUACUGUCUCCUUUUUCUAGUCUAUGAAAUUGAUCUCCCCGUGCAGAAGCGGGGAUAAAGACAUAAGACGAGAAGACCCUAUGGAGCUUUAGACGCUAGGACAGGCACGUGUUGAACACUCUUGGAUAAAAGACUAAGCGACGUGACACACUGUUCACAUGUCUUUGGUUGGGGCGACCCUGGGGAACAAAAAAACCCCCAUGAAGACAGGGAACACAUCCUCCUACAAGCAAUGAGCCACCGCUCUAACUCACAGAAUUUUUGACUUAUAGGAUCCGGCAUAGCCGAUCAACGGACCGAGUUACCCUAGGGAUAACAGCGCAAUCCUCUUUCAGAGCCCAUAUCGACAAGAGGGUUUACGACCUCGAUGUUGGAUCAGGACAUCCUAAUGGUGCAGCCGCUAUUAAGGGUUCGUUUGUUCAACGAUUAAAGUCCUACGUGAUCUGAGUUCAGACCGGAGUAAUCCAGGUCAGUUUCUAUCUAUGAAGUGUUCUUUUCUAGUACGAAAGGACCGAAAAGGAGAGGCCCCUGCUCAAAGUACGCCUCCACCCCACCUACUGAAGCCAGCUAAAGUAGGUAAGGGAGAACACCCCUCCCACUAAAAAAAAUAGUCU